GAUCCAUUAGCUCAGAUGGCAGAGCACUUGACUUUUAAUCAAGGUGUCCGGGGUUCGAUUCCCCGAUGGGUCACCA
rnacentral:tRNA from 1 species